GACGAACGCUGGCGGCGUGCCUAAUACAUGCAAGUUGAGCGCUGAAGGUUGGUACUUGUACCAACUGGAUGAGCAGCGAACGGGUGAGUAACGCGUGGGGAAUCUGCCUUUGAGCGGGGGACAACAUUUGGAAACGAAUGCUAAUACCGCAUAAAAACUUUAAACACAAGUUUUAAGUUUGAAAGAUGCAAUUGCAUCACUCAAAGAUGAUCCCGCGUUGUAUUAGCUAGUUGGUGAGGUAAAGGCUCACCAAGGCGAUGAUACAUAGCCGACCUGAGAGGGUGAUCGGCCACAAUGGGACUGAGACACGGCCCAAACUCCUACGGGAGGAAGCAGUAGGGAAUCUUCGGAAAUGGACGAAAGUCUGACCGAGCAACGCCGCGUGAGUGAAGAAGGUUUUCGGAUCGUAAAACUCUGUUGGUAGAGAAGAACGUUGGUGAGAGUGGAAAGCUCAUCAAGUGACGGUAACUACCCAGAAAGGGACGGCUAACUACGUG
rnacentral:rRNA from 1 species